AGAGCUCAUGUUUCACCUGAUCAAAUAAAAAAAUGAAGGGUUCUUUGGUAAUCUGUGAAUGACUUCGUUCAAAUCCAUUUCUCUCUUUCUCCUUUCUCUCUCUUAUUUCAAUUUUCUCCCUCCUCAUGGAUAUUAUCUCUGCUCUGCGAUUCUCACCUUCUUCAAGUUCGAUCCUUCGAAUUUCUUCAAUUUUCGCCAAGCGAAUGCGUUUGUGAAGGUGUGACGCAAAAGAUCAGGCGUCAGAUCGAUGAACUGGAGAACUCUUCCGGCGUUGAUGGUGGUGAUUUGACGGUUGAUGGAGUUCCUAUUGAUUCUUAUCUUAUAGAUUUGUCUGGGAUGAAGCUAAAUAUUCGACUAUGUCGCCUUUGAAGGAGAUUGUUGAUGGUAUUCAUAGUUUUGUACUAAGGUUGAAGAUGACCUCAAGAUUUUCCCGUUUGUAGAUACAUGGAAAAUUUUGAGGGGUGCAGGAAGAUGAUUGGAAGCUGGUAGAGAGAAUAACAUCGUAUUUUUAGAUUUUUAUUUAUAAAUGAAUUUUUUUCUCAUCUUAAUAAUUCGUCAGUUACUUAUUUUUCAGGGGCACUACAUAUGUAAUGACUUUAAUUAUUUAUAGAUACAUUUCUUUUGGAGUUAAUAAUAAAAAUAAUUUUUUUGGUUUA